rnacentral:rRNA from 1 species
CCUACGGGAGGCAGCAGUGAGGAAUAUUGGUCAAUGGACGCAAGUCUGAACCAGCCAUGCCGCGUGCAGGAAGACGGCUCUAUGAGUUGUAAACUGCUUUUGUACGGGGGUAAACUCAGAUACGCGUGUCUGUUUGCAAGUAUCGCACGAAUAAGGACCGGCUAAUUCCGUGCCAGCAGCCGCGGUAAUACGGAGGGUUCAAGCGUUAUCCGGAUUUAUUGGGUUUAAAGGGUGCGUAGGCGGUCGGAUAAGCGAGUGGUGAAAUGCCGAGGCUCAACUGCGGAAGUGCCGCGCGAACUGUGGGGCUAGAGAGUAGUUGCGGUAGGCGGAAUGUAUGGUGUAGCGGUGAAAUGCUUAGAGAUCAUACAGAACACCGAUUGCGAAGGCAGCUUACCGAGCUACUUCUGACGUUGAGGCACGAAGGCGUGGGGAGCGAACAGGAUUAGAUACCCCAGUAGUC